rnacentral:rRNA from 1 species
ACAUGCCUACAACAUAGAAUUAAUGCAUUAGAUCCCAUUAGAAAACUACAGUUAAGCAAGCUUAAGCUAGAGUAGUAUUGGGAUGGGUGACUACUCAAUAAUUCCUAGUGUUUUACAUGCU